UAAUACGUAGGGUGCAAGCGUUAAUCGGAAUUACUGGGCGUAAAGCGUGCGCAGGCGGUCAUGCAAGACAGAUGUGAAAUCCCCGGGCUUAACCUGGGAACCGCAUUUGUGACUGCAUGGCUUGAGUACGGUAGAGGGAGAUGGAAUUCCGCGUGUAGCAGUGAAAUGCGUAGAUAUGCGGAGGAACACCGAUGGCGAAGGCAAUCUCCUGGACCUGUACUGACGCUCAUGCACGAAAGCGUGGGGAGCAAACAGGAUUAGAUACCCUGGUAGUCCACGCCCUAAACGAUGUCAACUGGUUGUUGGGAGGGUUUCUUCUCAGUAACGUAGCUAACGCGUGAAGUUGACCGCCUGGGGAGUACGGCCGCAAGGUU
rnacentral:rRNA from 1 species